rnacentral:rRNA from 1 species
UACGUAGGUGGCAAGCGUUGUCCGGAUUUACUGGGCGUAAAGAGCGCGCAGGCGGUCGUUCAAGUCGCGUGUGAAAGCCCCCGGCUCAACUGGGGAGGGUCACGCGAUACUGAUCGACUCGAAGGCAGGAGAGGGAAGUGGAAUUCCCGGUGUAGUGGUGAAAUGCGUAGAUAUCGGAAGGAACAUCAGUGGCGAAAGCGGCUUCCUGGACCAGCACCGACGUUCAGGCACGAAAGCGUGGGGAGCAAACAGG